rnacentral:rRNA from 1 species
AACGAACGCUGGCGGCAUGCCUAACACAUGCAAGUCGAACGGGAUCCUAGCUUGCUAGGUGAGAGUGGCGGACGGGUGAGUAACACGUGGGAAUCUGCCUUUUGGUUCGGGAUAACCGCGGGAAACUGCGGCUAAUACCGAAUGCCCUCGAGAGAGGAAAGAUUUAUCGCCAGAAGAGGAGCCCGCGUCCGAUUAGGUAGUUGGUGGGGUAAAGGCCUACCAAGCCGACGAUCGGUAGCUGGUCUGAGAGGAUGAUCAGCCACACUGGACUGAGAUACGGCCCAGACUCUACGGAGCAGCAGUGGGAAUAUUGGACAAUGGGGGCAACCC